AUGUGCCGCCGUGGGGCUGUCUGGGCCGGGAGGAUUCCAGCCCAGCCCAGAGUAAUUGUUAGCAGAGGUGGGCAAGACAGGGCUGGGGGAGGGAAGGCACAGCCCCCGGGGGCCUUGGUGACCUGGAAAGGGGGCAGUGAGACGGGGCACCAAGACGGAGCAAAGCGAGACAGAGGAGACCAAGGGGACUGCGGAAGGCGGAACCAGGGCUGGGGGGACAGCAACAGGGGCCAGGGGGUCCUAACCCCAAAAGAGGACUCAACAGAGCGGCGAGAGGGGGCGCCAGGGAGAAGCAGAGGUGGUGGGCGGCAGAGAGACAGUGCCAAGUGGAGCGAGAAGGAGGCUGAGAAAAUUUCAGGGCAGCAGGAGCUGGUAAGAUGCGCCGGCCGUGGGCAGCCUUGGCGCAGCCAGAGCCCCGGCGGUCCCACCAGAGGAGAGGAGCGCCUGGCCCAGGCCCCAGCCUGCUCUCCGGCCCCUACCCUCCUGGGCUGCAGGGCCUCAGAGGCCCUGGUCCCCUCCUCUCCCUGCCGCCUCACGCACCCUCCUUCCCUCCUCGAGCCCCUGUUUCUCCACCAGCAGAGGGGCUGGGCUUGGAGACCACCAGGGCUCCGUCCAGGGUGUGUCUGUCGCCUGCCACGCCCCCUCCAUGCCUUCACUCCUCUUCACCUGGCCCCCGUCUUCCCUUCCAUCCGUCUAUCUGUCCUUCCGUCUCCCUUCCCUCCCUCUGCCCCCUCUCCUCACCCCCUGUUCCAUUCUCCGUCUUCCCUUCUUCCCUGCUCACUGCUGCCUGCCUUGUUCCAGGUACUGGGCCUCUGGGUGGACCCUUUGGGAUCCCUGCGUCUGGUGGCACAGGCCUGGGACAAGCAGAGGGGGGUCAGACCCCGGGCACGGAGGCCCCCGUCCUCAGCAGGGCUCCAGCUCCUGCCACUCAGCCCGACCCCAUGUGUACCCAAGGCCGGCUGUGGACAAACUGCGUCCCAAAUCCCAGAGGCUGACACCGGGGCCGUGGUCCGAGUGUUUGAGCCCCGCCACCCUUCCUGUGUUGACACCCUAACCCGCGGUGUGAUGGGGUUAGGAGGUGGGCAGCUUUGGCAAUGA
rnacentral:lncRNA from 1 species